rnacentral:rRNA from 1 species
CUACCCUUGACAUGUAUGGAACCCUGCUGAGAGGUGGGGGUGCCCGAAAGGGAGCCAUAACACAGGUGCUGCAUGGCUGUCGUCAGCUCGUGUCGUGAGAUGUUGGGUUAAGUCCCGCAACGAGCGCAACCCUUGUCCCUAGUUGCUACGCAAGAGCACUCUAGGAAGACUGCCGGUGACAAACCGGAGGAAGGUGGGGAUGACGUCAAGUCCUCAUGGCCCUUAUGGGUAGGGCUUCACACGUCAUACAAUGGUCGGAACAGAGGGUCGCCAACCCGCGAGGGGGAGCCAAUCCCAGAAAACCGAUCGUAGUCCGGAUCGCACUCUGCAACUCGAGUGCGUGAAGCUGGAAUCGCUAGUAAUCGCGGAUCAGCAUGCCGCGGUGAAUACGUUCCC